UCCCUGGUAGCUCAGAGGGUAAAGAAUCUGCCUACAAUGCAGGAGACCCAGGUUUGAUCCCUGGGUGGGGAA
rnacentral:tRNA from 1 species